rnacentral:rRNA from 1 species
GAUGAACGCUGGCGGCGUGCUUAACACAUGCAAGUCGAACGGUGAAGCCAAGCUUGCUUGGUGUAUCAGUGGCGAACUGGUGAGUAACACGUGAGCAACCUGCCCUGGACUCUGGGAUAAGCGCUGGAAACGGCGUCUAAUACUGGAUAUGAGCCUCUUCCUCAUGGUGGGGGUUGGAAAGAUUUUUUGGUCUGGGAUUGGCUCGCGGCCUAUCCGCUUGUUGGUGAGGUAAUGGCUCACCAAGGCGUCGACGGGUAGCCGGCCUGAGAGGGUGACCGGCCACAAUGGGACUGAGACACGGCCCAGACUCCUACGGGAGGCAGCAGUGGGGAAUAUUGCACAAUGGGAGAAAGCCGGAUGCAGAAACGCCGCGUGAGGGAUGACGGCCUGCGGGUUGUAAACCUCUUUUAGCAGGGAAGAAGCGAAAGUGACGGUACCUGCAGAAAAAGCGCCGGCUAACUACGUG